CGCGGCCUAUCAGCUUGUUGGUGAGGUAAUGGCUCACCAAGGCAUCGACGGGUAGCUGGUCUGAGAGGACGAUCAGCCACACUGGGACUGAGACACGGCCCAGACUCCUACGGGAGGCAGCAGUAGGGAAUCUUGCGCAAUGGGGGCAACCCUGACGCAGCAACGCCGCGUGUGGGAUGACGGCUUUCGGGUUGUAAACCGCUUUCAGCAGGGAAGAAAAUGACGGUACCUGCAGAAGAAGGUGCGGCCAACUACGUGCCAGCAGCCGCGGUGACACGUAGGCACCAAGCGUUGUCCGGAUUUAUUGGGCGUAAAGAGCUCGUAGGCGGUUCAGUUAGUCGGGUGUGAAAACUCUGGGCUCAACCCAGAGACGCCACUCGAUACUGCUGUGACUAGAGUGCGGUAGGGGAGCGGGGAAUUCCUAGUGUAGCGGUGAAAUGCGCAGAUAUUAGGAGGAACACCAGUGGCGAAGGCGCCGCUCUGGGCCGUAACUGACGCUGAGGAGCGAAAGCGUGGGUAGCAAACAGGAUUAGAUACCCUGGUAGUCCACGCCGUAAACGUUGGGCACUAGGUGUGGGUCUCAACCAACGAGAUCCGCGCCGUCGCUAACGCAUUAAGUGCCCCGCCUGGGGAGUACGG
rnacentral:rRNA from 1 species